rfam:Pan troglodytes isolate Yerkes chimp pedigree #C0471 (Clint) chromosome 4, whole genome shotgun sequence.
UUUCCAGUAUAAGUAUGUCCGAUGCAAUAUUUUUGACAUACUUAUACUAAAA